UACGUAGGGUGCGAGCGUUGUCCGGAGUUAUUGGGCGUAAAGGGCUUGUAGGCGGUCUGUUGCGUCGGGAGUGAAAACUCAGGGCUUAACCCUGAGCCUGCUUCCGAUACGGGCAGACUAGAGGUAUGCAGGGGAGAACGGAAUUCCUGGUGUAGCGGUGAAAUGCGCAGAUAUCAGGAGGAACACCGGUGGCGAAGGCGGGUCUCUGGGCCGAUACUGACGCUGAGGAGCGAAAGCGUGGGGAGCGAACAGG
rnacentral:rRNA from 1 species